GUAGUUUUCCCAUCCCCCAAACAUAAGCCAAGACUUCAAGAAGGGGUCAAGCAGGUCUGUUUAAUGUAAGCCAUCAUUCUCAAUUUAUACAAUUUCUCAGGCCAGAGGCACACCCCCUGGACCUGAUGGUACACAGGAACACAAGGGACAUAAACCAAUCAAAACAAUACAACAAUGUCUGACACCUCCACAUACAGCACACAAGCCCUCCCC